CGUGUUGAGACUUGCUAUCAAGUGUACCGGUAGGUUGGAAAUCUAUUUCUAGAUUAGUGAGAGACGAGCUGUGCGCUGUUUAUAAAUAUUGCGACUCUGCAUUUAGUAAUUACAAAAUGGCCCAAUAAAGCUACUGGCCAAAGGAAAAAACUAAGGAACUGAUUGAAAUGCUUCAAGCAAGCCCUGAAUUAUAGGAUACAACAUCAAAAUUUUACAAAGACAGAGUAAAGAAAAAUUCUGCUACAGCUACUAUGGCAGAACAUUUCGGAGUUACUACUGCAGAAAUUACAAGAAAACUGUACAAUUUUUAAGAACUUAAAUGAAUAAUAAAAUAAGAAAAAUUAAAAACAAGAAAUCCGGAGAUGGAGUAAACGCCUUAAAGUUUUUAAUUGGAAGAUUUAUUUGUAAGAAAAGCCAAACAAGUCUGGAAUUAACAGUUGAAAUAGGCGACAUCCAUGCAGACACACAAAAUAGUCCAAAUGAAUUUCCUGUAUCUAAAGAGGUGACAAUUAGUGAUGCCCAUACUAAUAUCCCAAGCACUUCUCGUCCUGUUAGAAAGGUGGUCCGAAAAAAUAAAAAGAUAGCCAAAAGAAGAUGAAUUAUUUAAUAAGGCUAUAAAGGAAUUGACCAAGGUAAAUGCUGACGAGCAGAUAUUCGGAGAUUUUGUGGCAUCGUCACUCCGUAACUUACAGCAGGAAGUUAGUAAAAGAAAAUUGAAAAGAAGAAUACAGCAAUGCGUUUUAGAUUGUCAGGAGAAGGAUGAAAGUUUGGUGCCAAGGGAAAAAUUUUCGUCCAUUCA